CCCUUAGAUGUCCUGGGCCGCACGCGCGCUACACUGAUGCAUUCAACGAGUUUUACCUUGGCCGAGAGGCCUGGGCAAUCUUUUAAACCUGCAUCGUGAUAGGGAUAGAUUAUUGCAAUUAUUAAUCUUGAACGAGGAAUUCCUAGUAAACGCAAAUCAUCAAUUUGCAUUGAUUACGUCCCUGCCCUUUGUACACACCGCCCGUCGCACCUACCGAUUGAAUGGUCCGGUGAGGCCUCGGGAUUGUGGCCAGUUCACUUUAUUGGGAGUUGGCUGUGAGAACUUGUCUAAACCUUAUCAUUUAGAGGAAGGUGAAGUCGUAACA
rnacentral:rRNA from 1 species